CUUGUCAACAGUUUCUUCCUUUGAUGUUUCUUUUUAUCUAUAGAAGUAAUCCUGCCUGUGAAUACUGAGUUACUUCUCUUCUCAUGGAAGUCUGCAGGUUAUUUGGGACAGCUCUACUUCAUGUUGUAAAGUUUACCUGGGCUUGACUUCAGGCUGUGAGUUGAGGUCAUGUCUGAUCCAUUUUCUUCAAUCAGUGGCAGCUCAAGGUAUGUUGAAAAUUAAAACUCACUGAGCCUCUGAUGAGACUGCAGCCCUGCUAAUAACAUGGAUUUCAGCUUGGUAACAGCCUGAACUGAAGAUCAAGUUAAGCUGUGCUCUGACCUGACUCCUGACCCAUGGAAACCGAACCACCAUACCAUUUUCACAGUGGCUAUACCGUUUUAAAUUCCCACCAAGAGUGUAUGCUUGGCCUUGGGAACCUACUAAUGAUCAUUCAUCCCUUGCCUCAGACUUUCACAAGCUAGAAGCAACAUGAGGUUUUGUAAGGCGUGAAGAGAACCAGAAAGCUUACUUUUGAAUCCUGACAUAAUAAAAACACCCAACAAGACAUCCAAAGGUCCCAUUUGGUGUUGGCAGAGCCACGAGCAUCUUGAAUGGUCCUGUCUGUUUAUGAAGACCAGAAUGAAAAUGGCAGAUGACAAUGGACUACCAUAACUUAACCAAGUAGAAGCCCCAACUGUUCUUGCUAUGCUAUGUGCGGUAUCUUUAUUAACAUGUUCUUGGACUCUGUAUCCAGGGAAUCAUUUUUCCGCUUUCUGCAACUGUGUAAUUAAGGAUCCCAAGAUGAGAUCAUUCUGUAUUAUGGUGGGCCCUAUUUCAACAUCAGGUGUCCUUAUAAGAGCAGAAAAGGAUAAGACAUGCAGAAACACAGCGGCUGCCAUGUGAAUAAAGACGGAUGUAAAACUUGGUGUGUUGCAUCCACAAACCAAAAAAUGCCAAGGAUUUCCACAGCUGCCAGAAGUUAGGAGAGAAGUGUGAAAUGGAUUCUCUCUCAGACUCCAGAAAGAACCAACCCUUCCAACAUCUUGAUUUCAGACUUCCGGAUUCCAAAACCGUGCUAUAAAAAAAUAAUGCAAGCACAAUGAACACAGUGAAGAAAAUCUGGUCAAUCCCUCUUGAGAGUAAGUUGGUGAAAGUACAGAAAGUUUCACAAGGAAAUGAAAUGAAAUUUGAGCAGAAUUUUGGAGAAGCAAAAGGAUUUUGGAAGAUGUGAUAUAAAGAGAAAGAAACUUGAGAAUGAAGAAAUGCACAUGGAUACUUUGACAGAUGAUAAAAAUCAUGGUGUGGACCGACAUGACGCUUCAGCAUUCUGAAGCCUCAAAGGAGAGAUACCAAUCCUGCUGAAAGCUGGACUGGAAACAGCCCCAAGUGGGUGAGCACUCAUGCUCCUGGAAACCGUGCACUGGGCAGAAAACAGAAGAGUUUCCCUGGUGACCAGCAGAAUGUUCAGACAUUGGAGAAUUCCACUGGAGAGGAUCUUGGAAACUGUUGAAGCACUGCAGAUGCUGACAAAGUCCUCAUGGUGAUAGAGCAUCAAGAUGGAAACAGCCCAAGCCAUCCAGUGACCAGAACACCCUUGAAGCUUACUGAGUUGGUCACACAGGUCAACCAUGGGACAACAUCAGAGAGGACUACACAAUGAUGUGAAUAUCAGAAGGUGUAAUCGGCCCUCAUCAUGAGUUGGCGUAUUUCAGAUGCUAAAAAACACCACCAAGUGGAAGAAAUUAACUACCUGAUGAGCAUAAGCAUGCAGCCCCCAGACCUUAUGGUGCCUAAGGAUCAAUCACCCCCAGCCAAUCAGAGAACUGUGCACAGCGGAUCACACACACUGGGCCGUGCAGUUGGCCUUUAAAAAUGCUCAGCUGAAACUCUUUGGGGAAUAGAAAACCUGGACAGAAGGCACAGAACAGCCAUCUGAGGGUUUGAAAAGGAAAAGUAGCAAGGAGCCUGGGGACAGAAUACCAGCAUUCAGAACCUGGGAGCCUGCUCAAAUUCCAUGAGGACUUCUUUUGGAUCGCUUGCCACAAAGAUUACGUUCUCUUUGGAGUUCAGAUCCUACACAUCAAAACACUGGAGCUGUUGCAAGUUUUCUCUCAACGGGGAAAUAUAUCCCCUACAAACUAAAAGCAAAGUCAAAAGAGCAGUAAACAAUUUUCUAACUCCCUUCUCCUAGUUUCCUUCAUUAAAGAAUAUGACGAUACUGUGCCUUCCUGAGAGCACGCUUCACCAUUAAUACUAAAUCAGAGACAUGAAUAUUGCAAAUGUGAAAGAAAUUACAGUAGGCCAGUUCUUACUGUCUGCUUGUUUGCUUUUUCUUGGUUCAUGGCUUGUUUAAAUAUAAGCAAGAAAGAUAAGCAGGAAACAACCUCAAGAU